rnacentral:rRNA from 1 species
AUGCAAUCUACCUUUCACAGAGGGAUAGCCCAGAGAAAUUUGGAUUAAUACCUCAUAGUAUUAUGGAUUGGCAUCAAUCUAUAAUUAAAGUCACAACGGUGAAAGAUGAGCAUGCGUCCCAUUAGCUAGUUGGUAUGGUAACGGCAUACCAAGGCAACGAUGGGUAGGGGUCCUGAGAGGGAGAUCCCCCACACUGGUACUGAGACACGGACCAGACUCCUACGGGAGGCAGCAGUGAGGAAUAUUGGUCAAUGGGCGCAAGCCUGAACCAGCCAUGCCGCGUGCAGGAUGACGGUCCUAUGGAUUGUAAACUGCUUUUGCACAGGAAGAAACAACGCUACGUGUAGCGUCUUGACGGUACUGUGAGAAUAAGGAUCGGCUAACUCCGUGCCAGCAGCCGCGGUAAUACGGAGGAUCCAAGCGUUAUCCGGAAUCAUUGGGUUUAAAGGGUCCGUAGGCGGUUUAGUAAGUCAGUGGUGAAAGCCCAUCGCUCAACGGUGGAACGGCCAUUGAUACUGCUAGACUUGAAUUAUUAGG